GAGUAUUCCACUUCAGCGUGAAAAGAAUUCACUUCAGUAUUGAAGGGAAUCCACUUUGGCAUCAAGUGGACUUCAUUUCAGAAUGAGCAGCCUUAUUAUUAGCAUGAGGGGAUUGCACGUCAGCAUUGAGGGGACUUCAUGUCAGCAUUGAUAGGUUUCACUUUAACAUUGAAGGGAUUCCACCUUACCACUGAGGGGACUUAACUUCAGCAUGAGGGUACUUACCUUCAGCCUAAGGCAACAUCACUUCAGCAUUAAAAGGACUCCACCUCAGCAUGAUGCGAUUUCAGUUCCAAUAAGCAUGAUGGGACUUCUCUUCAGCACUAGUGGACUUACCUUCAGCAUGAGGGGCCUUAACUUCUGCAUGAAGGGAUUCCACUUCAGCAUUGAUGGGAAUUCAGCAUUCAGUCACUUUAGCAUGAGAGGACUUCACGUCAGCAUGAGGUGAAUGACUUCAUUUCAGCAUGAGGAUACUUCACAUUAGUAUUGAGAUGACUUCACUUCAGCAUUAAAAGAUUCCACUUCUGCAUGAGCGGACUCACCUUGGCAUGAGGGGACUUCAUUUCAGCAUUGAGAAAACUUCACUUAAACAUGAGGGGAGUCCACUUAUGCAUUGAGAGGACUUCAUUUCAGCAUGAGGGGACUUCCAUUCAGCACGAGGGGAAUCCACUUCAGCACUGACUGUACCCACUUCAGCCUGAAAGGUAUUCACUUCAGCACUGAGACUUCAGUUCAGCAUGGGAGACCUCGACUUGCACAUUGAGGGGACAUUAUUUCAGCAUAAGGUUACUUACGUUAACAUAAGGGGACUCCACUUCUGUAUGAGGAGACCUCACUUCAAAAUUGAGGGGAGCUUACUGCAGUGUGAGGGGAAUCCAUUACAACAACGAGGGACUUCAUUUCAGCAUUAAGGGUACUUUACUUCAGCAUUGAGUGGACUCC
rnacentral:lncRNA from 1 species